rnacentral:rRNA from 1 species
UACGUAGGGUCCGAGCGUUAAUCGGAAUUACUGGGCGUAAAGCGUGCGCAGGCGGUUUUGUAAGCCAGAUGUGAAAGCCCCGGGCUCAACCUGGGAACUGCAUUUGGGACUGCAAGGCUGGAGUACGGCAGAGGGAGGUGGAAUUCCACGUGUAGCAGUGAAAUGCGUAGAGAUGUGGAGGAACACCGAUGGCGAAGGCAAUCCCCUGGACCUGUACUGACGCUCAUGCACGAAAAGC